rnacentral:lncRNA from 1 species
UUGGACGCUGUAGCUUCGCACACAAUCCCCUUCACUAGAUUGACUGCCGAUCCACUUGAGAUAAGUGCCUCAUCUAUUUAUACCCCUGUUAUGUUCAGUAAGGUGAAGGCCGAGAUUGUCAACUUAUCAAGAUGGAAUGUACUUGAGGUGGAAGAGGACACUGGUUUGGUUAGCUAUGGAGUUGCUCGCAAAGAGUCGGUGCACGUUAGGUUCCAUGUCACAUGUAUUUUUGAUGGAUCUAAGAUGGAAAGUGCAUAUUGUUGUUGUAGGAAGAUGGAAAGCGAGGAUUUUCCAUGUGCUCAUAUAUUUUGCGUUUUGAAGUACAAUGGGAUAUGCACCAUCCCCGCAUGUUGUGUGAAGGCUAGAUGGACAAUGCAAGCCAAGCCUGCUUUCCGUUCUGUGAGGAGUGCCAAUACACAUAUAUGGUCAGAACAGAUGGAUAAGUACCAUGAACUGCGCAAUAUGGCUAGUGAGGCUUUAUUCACGGCCUCAGCUAGUGAAAUGCAGUCAGAAAAGGUGAUGGAGUACCUGAGGAGCAUAUUGGACGAGGGCAACAGAAAUGAUGGGAAUACUGGCACGCCAUCAUUUGUUCCUAUGCCGGCUUAUUUUUCUGGGGCGCGGCAAUGGUUUACAGAUCAAGUCCAAGACCCUAAACCAAUAAUAAAUCCCAAAGGCAGACCAGCCAAAGAAUCGAAUAAGAGGUUGAAGCCAUUCCUGGAGAAUUUGAAAGCAAAAAAGAAUGACUUCGUGAUGGAAACACAUAUUGAUAUAGCAGUGAUGCAAAAUGGAAUGCAAGGAAGUACAUGGCCGGACACUCAAGUGGCUUCGUGGCCUAUCAAAGACUAUGAAGUGCCACAGCAAACAGAUGGCUGUUCCUGUGCUCUCUGGGUGUUGAAAUUCAUCCAAUAUUGGACCGGAGUGAGAUUGUCGGCUAUAUUCAACCAGGUGCCUACAUCUUCCCUAUCUAACUUAACUUUCACAUAUACAAAGGGUCCUAACAUCUACCUCCUAUGCAGGAUGACAUAAGACAGUUCAGAAGAUGGCUUGCUGCUGCCUUGCUCAAUUCACCUCACAAUGAGUUGAAAGUUCGGAAGGCCAUACCAGCAGUUGAUUUAGAAGAUGAUUUAGAAGACCUCGACCUCGGAGGUGACGACGGACACAACGACAGCGGAGAUGUCUCAGGAGACGAUGGUUCCGCACUAUAGUUGUAUGGCGCUAGACUUAGGGUAGAGUUAAUAGGAUUGGGCGUGGUGUGGUUUUUGCCCCGAAGAAGGUUUCCACACCGUUUUCAGUUUUAUUACUUUAUCUAUACAGCGGAGAUGUAUCAAACAAUUUUUUUGGUUGUGCUACUUCAUAUAUACGGCAAAUUGCCGUACAUUUACUACUUUUAUCUGCAUUGAAUAUCUACAUUAAUUUUUAAUUAAAGUCUUUCACACACAAAAUCUUGUAUUCUUUGUUUAAUGAUGCAAUUCCCUUUGGUUUAUAGGAUGUGCUUCAAAAACCAAAUUUCUAAGUGGCUUUACACUUCCGGUCGCAAUUUCCUUGUUACUUGUGUCCUUGGAAGCAACACAUUCUUUUUAAACCUGGGGUUUCAGUUCUGUAUUAUGCCAAUGAAUGAUAGGCAAAUGCUGUCCUGUUUGCUUACCCAUUUAAUCGGUGAUCAGGAUUUUCUUGGCCACCAACUUGGGAACUAGCCAUUGCCUAACCUCUGAGUGUUUAUCAGGUGUACUAAUUAACUAGACUGAACUUAUGACUAUGACUGAAUCUGAAACUGAAACUGAAACAUGCUCUCUGGAAUCUGAAACUAAACAUUCUCUGCACUGAAACAGAAACAUCCUCUCUGGAAUCUGAGACUAAAAAUGCUCUGCACUAAUAUCACAUACAAAAAAAUCUGCUGGUGCGAUGGAACUCGUCCUCCUUCGAGGACCAUGGCUGGAUCAGGCUGGUGCGAUGGAACUCGUCCUCCUUCGAGGACCAUGGCUGGAUCAGCUUUUACGAUGGAGAAGCUAGCUUAGGAAAUGGACAAAAGAAAUGGGGGCCAAUGGAUCGAUAGGUCGGAUGCGAGUACCUGCAUCGGCCGCGACAGAUCUGUACGACACUGGUCGGCGGUGCGUACGGCCUUCACGGCGACGGGGCAUGCCGGCGACGUCUCGCCUUAGUCCUCCCCAUCGGCGACCCGCUCCACAUCCCGCAGCUUAGGAGGGGAACACGAACGGCGGGGACAUUUAGCCGCCGACCACAGCCGCCUAGGACACCGGGGAGGGGCGGCGCCCGCGGUGCUGGCUCGUCCGGGUACGGCGGGGCGCCAAACCAUACCGACCGCAAAUACUGCGCGGAGGGCACUCACGGCGACCGGGGUUCGCCGUCGUCCUGUCGCCAUAGCGCCGCCAUCGGUCGCCCUUUUCC